GUGGCUUGUAUAUAGAUAACAUUUUGACACCUAAUGAGUUUUAGUAUCACAAAAUUCUCAUUCAAUACCCUUAGCCUUUAAUCACAUUCAUCUCUUUCAUAUCACCGAAUGAACGAAAGAAAAAAAAGAGAGAGAAACACCGUGAGAGAGAGAAGAGAACGAAACCAUGGAACCGUGAGUUUUCAACUUCGAUUACUUGCGAUCCGUAAUUCCAAUAAAAAAUCUAAUCCGAUAAAAGUGUCCGUAUCAUUCUCUUCUGCACGUUAGCGUUAUUUUUGUUUGGUAAAAGUUGACGGUGACGUAGCUCCUCUUCCCCUUGAGUUCGGCCAACUGGAGUUCUAGGAGACACAGAUGAUUUCUGACAUUUUUCUUUUCAGCAGCUCGGUCAAAAGUUUCUCCAAAACUUUUGAGGAUUUUGAUUUCAUACGGAGUGACACAGGUUCAGAGAUUCAGUAAGAAGCUGCAGACGAUUCGUAGAUUUACUUGUGAUUCCUGUUGUUUUUAUAGAGUUCCCUCGUCCUUGUUGCUUUAGGGUUUUUAUUUUAUCCAGAGGGAUAGGUAUUGUAUUUGAGUUUUACAUUGAAUUUAAUCGUAUAACCUCUAUUAUUAUUAGUAAUUAUGUGAUUGUUAUUAUUU